rnacentral:lncRNA from 1 species
UAACAUCAUGCAGUUCAAAUUUACUAAUAUUAAAAAAAUUCGGCAGCAUAUCCCCUAUUUAGGCAUAAUCCACAAAUCCACAAAUAUAUAACAGAUAGUAGAUAGUUGACAUUAAUUAACAUGUUCAAGUGAAGAAGUGCAAAUAAGAAAAUAUAGUUGCAACAACCAAACAACCAGCAAGCCUCCGCUCCACAAUAUUACAACAAUAAGUAACAAGUUCAACAUCAUCCAUGGUAACUUGAACUUUAACUUCUCAAGUUCCAAUUGCAGCAUCAUCCUCCAAGUCAACGUCAUUCAUAGCUUCACUUAAGGUUUUAAUUUCAAUCUCCAAAUAUGAAAUUAAUAGAAAACAUAUUAUUAGUAAUGAAUGAUGAUGUGAAUCAUAAAGCUAUAAAUAUAACAAUACCUUUCUUCGAAGCAAUCUUCCAAUCUUUACAACAAACCAAUGCCUCAAUAAUUUCUGGUUUGAGUCUUGAACGGAAUGCAUCAACAAUGCGUCCACCCGAACUAAAUGCAGACUCUGAAGCAACAGUAGACACUUGCAUAGACAACACAUCACGAGCAAGGGUAGAAAGAAUAGGAAAAUUUGUGACUUGCCCUUUCCACCAUGAUAGGAUAUCAAACGUUGCUUCAUUGUCAUUGACCUUCACUAGGUCCUCGCUCAUGUACAAAUCUAACUCUGACACCUUCUUGUCAUUGCUUGUUGUUGCAUACAACUCAUCAAUAUCAACCUCAUCCUCCUCCUCAUCCACCAAACAAGUAUUUUUAUGUGGAACAAACUCACUCUCUCUUGAACUAGAACCUUUUGUAGUUGAUUUUGCAUUGAUGACUGCUGAAUAAUAUGCAAAUAAUUCAUUGAUAACAUUCAUGAAUACCAAUUUCUCUAACUCGACUUUAUCACUGCCAUACAUCUUAGACAUAUAUAGCUCAAUCAUCCUAUGUUUGUAUCUAGGAUCAAGAAAUGCUCCCACUGCCAAAGCUAAAUUGUUCAUUUCCCAAUAUUUAUCAAACUUGUGUCUCAUAGAAAAUGCCAUUGUGCAAAUUACCAGAUCACUACUAUCACACCAUCUUGCAAUAGCCAUCUUAAUCUCAGAAAACUUCCGAAAGAAAUGAUUUGCAGUAGGAUAUGAAGUGCCAGAAAAAAAGCAAUGUGACAUCAUAGAAUUUUUUCAAACACUUGCUAAUAUUUGUUGCAUUCAACCAAUCAGUGCUUGAAGGAUUGAUGUGACCAUAUUUGUCCUUAUCUUUUUUAGCCAGACGAUCAAAAACAUUCUUAUAGUAAAUGACAUCUCUAAUCAUGAUAUAUGUAGAGUUCCAUCUAGUGGCAACAUCCAAGGAAAGAGCCUUUUUAGGGUCUAGACCACAUUCUUUAGCACAUUUCUCAAAUGCCUCCAACUGCAAAGGUGACCUUUUGAUAAUUGUUACAAAUUGUCUAAUGUUUCCAAUGACAUUUCCAAGGCAUGAUAAUCCAUCUCUAGCAACUAGAUUCAAUAUAUGAUUUGCACAUCUAACAUGAAAGAAUUUUC